GACGAACGCUGGCGGCGUGCCUAAUACAUGCAAGUCGAACGCUGAAGAGAGGAGCUUGCUCUUCUUGGAUGAGUUGCGAACGGGUGAGUAACGCGUAGGUAACCUGCCUUGUAGCGGGGGAUAACUAUUGGAAACGAUAGCUAAUACCGCAUAACAAUGGAUGACACAUGUCAUUUAUUUGAAAGGGGCAAUUGCUCCCCUACAAGAUGUACCUGCGUUGUAUUAGCUAGUAGGUGAGGUAAUGGCUCACCUAGGCGACGAUACAUAGCCGACCUGAGAGGGUGAUCGGCCACACUGGGACUGAGACACGGCCCAGACUCCUACGGGAGGCAGCAGUAGGGAAGCUUCGGCAAUGGGGGAAACCCUGACCGAGCAACGCCGCGUGAGGGAAGAAGGUUUUCGGAUCGUAAAGCUCGGUUGUAAGUCAAGAACGGGUGUGAGAGUGGAAAGUUCAAACUGUGACGGUAGCUUAACAGAAAGGGACGGCUAACUACGUG
rnacentral:rRNA from 1 species